UUUAUACCAGUUUUCUGGUCUAUUUUUUUGGAACAGGCUAGCUUCGUGGUCCAUUUUUGGUCGGAUUUGGACCAAGAUUUGAACUGUUCCAAAACUGGUUUGACACAUGUUUGUUUACCAGUUCGAAUUUUUCUCGCUGAACAGUCACCAGUUACCGUCUCUAGUUCCCACUCUUGAGCGAUACGAUCUCUGAUCUGAUCUGUUCUGAUUGGGCAAUGCGUGUUCCGGGAGCGCCGAGAUGACCAACGCGGCGGUUGCCUACUGUAUCAGAAGCAAGCGGUCACUUCACGGCUGUCGUCAAUUAUUGAUGAGUUCAAGCUAGUGUUGGUGCUGUGUGACUUUCUCACUCGACCUGAAACGGAUGCCACUCGGAAUGCGGUGUUCUUUUCGUCCUUUGGUGGUUCCAUAGUACGAAGCAGCGUUCUGAACAAAAUGAUGAGUAUAGCGGUGUCCGGAUCGACUGCUCCGUUAUUGUGUACUGCUGGGCAGAUGGGCUGCACAUCUCCGCCAAGUCUUGAGUUACCUAGCCCAAUACAUUUUCAAGGACUUUGUUAUA